GCCUCCUGCCGACGCCGGCACAGACCCCGGUGACGGAAGUGACGUAAGGCCGAGGCUGGAGGGCCGCGCUGGGCUGGGCCCACAGGCGCUCGGGGUUGGACCCAGCGACCGUCGGCAGCAGCAUGGCUCUCCUCUUUCUCCUACCCCUUGUCAUGCAGGGUGUGAGCAGGGCUGAGAUGGGCACCGCGGAUCUGGGGCCGUCCUCAGUGCCUACACCAACUAAUGUUACAAUUGAAUCCUAUAACAUGAACCCUAUCGUAUAUUGGGAGUACCAGAUCAUGCCACAGGUCCCUGUUUUUACCGUAGAGGUAAAGAACUAUGGGUGAGUGUCACUCUUUUAUUUAUCCCUUUUAUUCCAUUUUUGUUUAGGUCCUUGGAAAUUCCACAACUGUGUUCUUUCAUCAGCCUUCCCACGUGGCAAAACAUUCUAAACUGCUUAUAGAGGUCCAAAAGUACUAAAGAUGCAAAUUCUUUGCCAAAUAUUUCUUGCCUCUUAUUUCCUCUUCCUUAUCAGUAUUGAAAUAGAGAAGUGUCACUAAACUUCUGAGAUUAGCAUGACAAAUAAAGCUAAUAGUUACUAUGUCAUCUUCCUAUAGUGUAUUUUUAGUAGAACAAUAUAAAUUUCAAAAAACUUUUUUGACAA
rnacentral:sRNA from 1 species